rnacentral:rRNA from 1 species
AGGAUUCCCCUAGUAACUGCGAGUGAAGCGGGAAAAGCUCAAAUUUAAAAUCUGGCAGUCUUUGACCGUCCGAGUUGUAAUUUAGAGAAGCAAUGCCGGCGCUGGACUGUGUACAAGUCUCCUGGAAUGGAGCGUCAUAGAGGGUGAGAAUCCCGUAUAUGACACAGUUGCCAGGGCACAGUGGCAUGCUCUCAAAGAGUCGAGUUGUUUGGGAAUGCAGCUCAAAAUGGGUGGUAAAUUCCAUCUAAAGCUAAAUACAGGCGAGAGACCGAUAGCGAACAAGUACCGUGAGGGAAAGAUGAAAAGAACUUUGGAAAGAGAGUUAAACAGUACGUGAAAUUGUUGAAAGGGAAACGCUUGAAGUCAGUCUUGUUGCUGGAAAUCACACUUGCUUCUGCUUGUGGCUCUUUCCUUUGCAAUGGGUCAGCAUCAGUUUUGGUUGUUGGAUAAGAGUCAGAGGAAUGUGGCAUCCUUGGAUGUGUUAUAGCCUCUGACUGCAUGCAAUGACAGAGACUGAGGAACUCGGCACUUGCUGCCUAGGAUGCUGGCAUAAUGGCUUUAAUCGACCCGUCUUGAAAAC